CCUUUAGUGCUGCGCCGACAGCGGUCAGGAUCUCGGCUUUCUUGCUUCGAGAGGGACUAGGUGCCUCCACCAGAGCUUCUGUCGCUCUGUAACCUGCACUGUGACCUACACUAGUCGCGGGAGCCACGCAGAGGACGCCGGAACACCCUGGAAGCCGAGAAAUGGAAAAAGGUGGAAAGACCAGAACAUUGAAUAUGAGCACCAAAACCCCAGGAGAAACUUCAGGAGUCUCAUAGAAGAAAAAGUCAAUGAAAUUAAAGAUGACAGUCAUUGUGGAGAAACUUUUACCCCAGUUCCAGAUGACAGACUGAACUUCCAGGAGAAGAAAGCUUCUCCUGAAGUAAAAUCAUGUGAAAGCUUUGUGUGUGGAGAAGUUGGCCUAGGUAACUCAUCUUUUAAUAUGAACAUCAGAGGUGACAUUGGACACAAGGCAUAUGAGUAUCAGGAAUAUGGACCAAAGCCAUGUAAGUGUCAACAACCUAAAAAAGCCUUCAGAUACCGCCCCUCCUUUAGAACACAAGAAAGGGAUCACACUGGAGAGAAACCCAAUGCUUGUAAA
rnacentral:lncRNA from 1 species